AGUGAACGCUGGCGGUAGGCCUAACACGUGCAAGUCGAACGGCAGCACAGUAAGAGCUUGCUCUUACGGGUGGCGAGUGGCGGACGGGUGAGGAAUACAUCGGAAUCUACUUUUUCGUGGGGGAUAACGUAGGGAAACUUACGCUAAUACCGCAUACGACCUACGGGUGAAAGCAGGGGAUCUUCGGACCUUGCGCGAUUGAAUGAGCCGAUGUCGGAUUAGCUAGUUGGCGGGGUAAAGGCCCACCAAGGCGACGAUCCGUAGCUGGUCUGAGAGGAUGAUCAGCCACACUGGAACUGCGACACGGUCCAGACUCCUACGGGAGGCAGCAGUGGGGAGUAUUGGACAAUGGGCGCAAGCCUGAUCCAGCCAUACCGCGUGGGUGAAGAAGGCCUUCGGGUUGUAAAGCCCUUUUGUUGGGAAAGAAAAGCAGCAGGUUAAUACCCCGCUGUUCUGACGGUACCCAAAGAAUAAGCACCGGCUAACUUCGUG
rnacentral:rRNA from 1 species